UAGGGAAUCUUCCGCAAUGGACGAAAGUCUGACGGAGCAACGCCGCGUGAGUGAAGAAGGAUUUCGGUUCGUAAAACUCAGUUGUGAGGGAAGAAAAAAUGUAUAGUAACUAUAUACAAAAGAGACGGUACCUAACCAGAAAGCCACGGCUAACUACGUGCCAGCAGCCGCGGUAAUACGUAGGUGGCAAGCGUUGUCCGGAAUUAUUGGGCGUAAAGCGCGCGCAGGUGGUUUAGAAAGUCUGAUGUGAAAGCCCACGGCUCAACCGUGGAGGGUCAUUGGAAACUAAUAAACUUGAGUGCAGGAGAGAAAAGUGGAAUUCCUAGUGUAGCGGUGAAAUGCGUAGAGAUUAGGAGGGACGCCGGUGGCGAAAGCGGCUUUUUGGCCUGCUACUGACACUGGGGCGCGAAAGCGUGGGGAGCAAACAGG
rnacentral:rRNA from 1 species